rnacentral:rRNA from 1 species
CGUUUGACCUCGGAUCAGUAGGGAUACCCGCUGAACUUAAGCAUAUCAAUAAGCGGAGGAAAAGAAACCAACAGGGAUUGCCCUAGUAACGGCGAGUGAAGCGGCAACAGCUCAAAUUUGAAAUCUGGCUCUUUCAGAGUCCGAGUUGUAAUUUGCAGAGGGUGCUUUGGUGGUAGCAGCGGUCUAAGUUCUUUGGAACAGGACGUCACAGAGGGUGAGAAUCCCGUAUGUGGUCGCUACUUAUCACCGUGUAAAGCCCCUUCGACGAGUCGAGUUGUUUGGGAAUGCAGCUCUAAAUGGGAGGUAAAUUUCUUCUAAAGCUAAAUACUGGCCAGAGACCGAUAGCGCACAAGUAGAGUGAUCGAAAGAUGAAAAGCACUUUGGAAAGAGAGUCAAAUAGCACGUGAAAUUGUUGAAAGGGAAGCGCUUGCAGCCAGACUUGCUUGUAGUUGCUUACCUAGACUUUUGUCUGGGGUACUCUUCUGCAGGCAGGCCAGCAUCAGUUUGGGCGGUUGGAUAAAGGUCUCUGUCACGUACCUCCUUUCGGGGAGGCCUUAUAGGGGAGACGUCAUACAACCAGCCUGGACUGAGGUCCGCGCAUCUGCUAGGAUGCUGGCGUAAUGGCUGUAAGCGGCCCGUCUUGAAACACGGACCAAGGAGUCUAACAUCUAUGCGAGUGUUUGGGUGUCAAGCCCAUACGCGUAAUGAAAGUGAACGGAGGUGGGAACCUUAGGGUGCACCAUCGACCGAUCCUGAUGUCUUCGGAUGGAUUUGAGUAAGAGCAUGGCUGUUGGGACCCGAAAGAUGGUGAACUAUGCUUGAAUAGGGUGAAGCCAGAGGAAACUCUGGUGGAGCUCGCAGCGGUUCUGACGUGCAAAUCGAUCGUCAAUUU